rnacentral:rRNA from 9 species
GAAAGCUAGGGGAGAAAAUGGGAUUAGAGACCCCAGUAGUCCUAGCCGUAAACGAUGGAUACUAGGUGUUGUGCGACUCGACCCAUGCAGUGCUGUAGCUAACGCGUUAAGUAUCCCGCC